AUUGAACGCUGGCGGCAGGCUUAACACAUGCAAGUCGAGCGGAGAGAGGUAGCUUGCUACUGAUCUUAGCGGCGGACGGGUGAGUAAUGCCUAGGAAUCUGCCUAUUAGUGGGGGACAACAUUUCGAAAGGAAUGCUAAUACCGCAUACGUCCUACGGGAGAAAGCAGGGGAUCUUCGGACCUUGCGCUAAUAGAUGAGCCUAAGUCGGAUUAGCUAGUUGGUGGGGUAAAGGCCUACCAAGGCGACGAUCUGUAGCGGGUCUGAGAGGAUGAUCCGCCACACUGGGACUGAGACACGGCCCAGACUCCUACGGGAGGCAGCAGUGGGGAAUAUUGGACAAUGGGCGGAAGCCUGAUCCAGCCAUGCCGCGUGUGUGAAGAAGGCCUUAUGGUUGUAAAGCACUUUAGGCGAGGAGGAGGCUACUUUAGUUAAUACCUAGAGAUAGUGGACGUUACUCGCAGAAUAAGCACCGGCUAACUCUGUGCCAGCAGCCGCAGUAA
rnacentral:rRNA from 1 species